UCAACGUUGGCGGCGUGCGUAACACAUGCAAGUCGAACGAUCCUUAAGUGGCUUGCCAUUUAAGGAGAGUGGCGAACGGGUGAGUAACACGUGAGCAAUCUGCCCUCGAGUGGGGAACAACCUCGCGAAAGCGGGGCUAAUACCGCAUAACACUCUGAAGCAUAAGCUUCAGAGUCAAAGCCUUCGGGUGCUUGAGGAUGAGCUUGCGCCUUAUUAGCUAGUUGGUGGGGUAACGGCCUACCAAGGUAAUGAUGAGUAGCCGGCCUGAGAGGGUGUACGGCCACACUGGAACUGCGACACGGUCCAGACUCCUACGGGAGGCAGCAGUGGGGAAUUUUGCGCAAUGGGCGAAAGCCUGACGCAGCGACGCCGCGUGGAGGAUGAAGGCCUUCGGGUUGUAAACUCCUGUCAGAGGUGAAGAAUGCCCUUCGGGGUUUGACGGUAACCUCAGAGGAAGCCCCGGCUAACUAC
rnacentral:rRNA from 1 species